CCUGAACAACCCUAGUGAUGGAAGCCUUGUUCUGCCCUGGCUGAGAGGUACACCCUGAACAACGCUAGUGAUGGAAGCCUUGUUCUGCCCUGGCUGAGAGGUACACCCUGAGCAACGCUAGUGAUGGAAGCCUUGUUCUGCCCUGGCUGAGAGUUACACCCUGAACAACGCUAGUGAUGGAAGCCUUGUUCUGCCCUGGCUGAGAGGUACACCCUGAACAACACUAGUGAUGGAAGCCUUGUUCUGCCCUGGCUGAGAGGUACACCCUGAACAACACUAGUGAUGGAAGCCUUGUUCUGCCCUGGCUGAGAGGUACACCCUGAACAACACUAGUGAUGGAAGCCUUGUUCUGCCCUGGCUGAGAGGUACACCCUGAACAACACUAGUGAUGGAAGCCUUGUUCUGCCCUGGCUGAGAGGUACACCCUGAACAACACUAGUGAUGGAAGCCUUGUUCUGCCCUGGCUGAGAGGUACACCCUGAACAACACUAGUGAUGGAAGCCUUGUUCUGCCCUGGCUGAGAGCUACACCCUGAACAACGCUAGUGAUGGAAGCCUUGUUCUGCCCUGGCUGAGAGGUACACCCUGAACAACGCUAGUGAUGGAAGCCUUGUUCUGCCCUGGCUGAGAGGUACACCCUGAGCAACGCUAGUGAUGGAAGCCUUGUUCUG